rnacentral:rRNA from 1 species
GACGAACGCUGGCGGCGUGCUUAACACAUGCAAGUCGAACGGAAAGGCCCUGCUUUUGUGGGGUGCUCGAGUGGCGAACGGGUGAGUAACACGUGAGUAACCUGCCCUUGACUUUGGGAUAACUUCAGGAAACUGGGGCUAAUACCGGAUAGGAGCUCCUGCUGCAUGGUGGGGUUGGAAAGUUUCGGCGGUUGGGGAUGGACUCGCGGCUUAUCAGCUUGUUGGUGGGGUAGUGGCUUACCAAGGCUUUGACGGGUAGCCGGCCUGAGAGGGUGACCGGCCACAUUGGGACUGAGAUACGGCCCAGACUCCUACGGGAGGCAGCAGUGGGGAAUAUUGCACAAUGGGCGGAAGCCUGAUGCAGCAACGCCGCGUGCGGGAUGACGGCCUUCGGGUUGUAAACCGCUUUCGCCUGUGACGAAGCGUGAGGGACGGGAAUGGGUAAAGAAGCACCGGCGAACUACGU